AGAUUGAACGCUGGCGGCAUGCCUAACACAUGCAAGUCGAACGGGAGUAGCAAUACUCUAGUGGCGGACGGGUGAGGAAUACGUAGGAAUUUGCCCUUAAGUGGGGGAUAACCCGGGGAAACCCGGAGUUAAUACCGCAUGACCUCGAAAGAGCAAAGUGGGGGAUCGCAAGACCUCACGCUUUUGGAGAAGCCUACGUCGGAUUAGCUAGUUGGUGAGGUAAUGGCUCACCAAGGCGACGAUCCGUAACUGGUCUGAGAGGAUGAUCAGUCACACCGGAACUGAGACACGGUCCGGACUCCUACGGGAGGCAGCAGUGGGAAUAUGGACAAUGGGCGCAAGCCUGAUCCAGCAAUGCCGCGUGUCGUGAAGAAGGUCCUUACGGUUGUAAAGCGUACUUUAAGGUUAGGGUAAGUAAAAACGUCGUACUCCUUAACACGAAGUGAGUCGUU
rnacentral:rRNA from 1 species